GAUGAAGAACGCAGCGAAAUGCGAUAAGUAAUGUGAAUUGCAGAAUUCAGUGAAUCAUCGAAUCUUUGAACGCACAUUGCGCCCGUCAGUAUUCUGGCGGGCAUGCCUGUUCGAGCGUCAUUACGCCCCUCAAGUCCCCUGUGGACUUGGUGUUGGGGAUCGGCGAGGCUGGUUUUCCAGCACAGCCGUCCCUUAAAUUAAUUGGCGGUCUCGCCGUGGCCCUCCUCUGGGCAGUAGUAAAACACUCGCAACAGGAGCCCGGCGCGGUCCACUGCCGUAAAACCCCCCAACUUUUUAUAGUUGACCUCGAAUCAGGUAGGACUACCCGCUGAACUUAAGCAUAUCAAUAAGCGGAGGA
rnacentral:misc_RNA from 1 species